GAUACGGGGAGGUAGUGACAAUAAAUACUGAUGCAGGGCUCUUUUGGGUCUUGCAAUUGGAAUGAGUACAAUUUAAACCCCUUAACGAGGAACAAUUGGAGGGCAAGUCUGGUGCCAGCAGCCGCGGUAAUUCCAGCUCCAAUAGCGUAUAUUAAAUUUGUUGCAGUUAAAAAGCUCGUAGUUGAAACUUGGGCCUGGCUGGGUGGUCCGCCUCACCGCGUGUACUGGUCCGGCCGGGCCUUUCCUUCUGGGGAAGCCCAUGGUCUUCAUUGACUGUGUGGGGGAACCAGGACUUUUACUUUGAAAAAAUUAGAGUGUUCAAAGCAGGCCUUUGCUCGAAUACAUUAGCAUGGAAUAAUGGAAUAGGACGGCUUUCCUAUUUUGUUGGUUUCUAGGAGAGCCGUAAUGAUUAAUAGGGAUAGUCGGGGGCAUCAGUAUUCAAUUGUCAGAGGUGAAAUUCUUGGAUUUAUUGAAGACUAACUACUGCGAAAGCAUUUGCCAAGGAUGUUUUCAUUAAUCAGUGAACGAAAGUUAGGGGAUCGAAGACGAUCAGAUACCGUCGUAGUCUUAACCAUAAACUAUGCCGACUAGGGAUUGGUGAAUGUUACUAUUAUGACUUCAUCAGCACC
rnacentral:rRNA from 1 species